rnacentral:lncRNA from 1 species
AUCCAAUGACUUAAUACUUGACUCAGUCUUGUCUAGCAAUCCUGACUCGCGUUCAUCUAAAUUGAUCAAAAGCCCCAAUUAUUUGUUCAAACUGGCUACACCUCAUGUGAUGAGAAUGCGGGUAAUUUAAUAAUAUGUUUCUCAAGUUUUGCCUCUAACGUUUAAUACGAAACAGUCUAAUCGAACAAGACCCACGUCUACUAUCUCGAAAUCAAACAAGCUAAACCAGCCAAGAGGCUUUCGCAACAGUAUGGAUGUUUUGGCCUAGUUUGAUAUCAGGCCUGUUUAUCGGGCCUCAGGCCCGCUUCUCAAGCCCAACACUGUCAGUUACCUGGAAGCAGCCACCUCCCAUUUUCUGUCAAAUUUGCUGCCAACCUUUAAUUGGACAGAGAAGGAGGCGGCAAAUUUGACAGCAAAAGGAAAUACCAAAAGGAAAAUAUCGCUAAAUAACCUAUACAGCCAAACUUUCUACUCCUAAACUCCUGGAACUAGCUUCUAACCCUAGCAAAAAUCCAAGGUAUACCCACAAGAAGGCCUUGAAGCUAUCGUCGUCCGUCUAGGAGUCGCCAAGGGGAAAGAACACGUGAAUCCGAGACGCAAAAACCACCACAACCUGAAAGCAAAAGGAGAUCCCAUAUGAAAAGGUAAGGUACUCCAAAACUUGCAUCUAUUCGAAAAUUCAUGACACUAUUACGAUUAUUACCUUAUUUUUUGGUCCUUACUAUACUUUGUUAAUGCUACUUACCAAUAUACUUCAUAGCAUGCUAUUAAGCAAUGAAAGAAUCAAAGAAUAAAAUGACUAAAUUACACCAAGUGAAAUACCCACACCCCAAGUAGGCUGAAGCCUCUUCCAAAUGACCAACUGUUGCCUACCUUAACACCAUUAGCAUCAAAGACCCAAGUAUCAUACAAAUACUCGGAAUUUGGACUCAAUUUCACAAACAAAUUAUGAGUUAUUCUAACAACUUUAUGGCUGGAAUUUCACAAAAAAUCAGCUUAAAUUGUCAUGGUGUCAAAAUGAUUGGUUUUGCUUCAAUUUUGAGUGGGUCAAGUUUUCACCCAUCGAUGUGCAUAUUUAUUUAUGCCUAAGAAGAGGGAUAAUAAGCCCCUAUUUUAAUCGGGUCAUUUAGCUAGCAAACAUUUAAAUAAGAAUCUUGUACUUAGCUUUUUUGUCUUUUCAAAUCGGAUCAAGUCAUUCCCCCCAUUCCGACUCCCUCGAACAAGUCAAUCCACAAACUUCAUUCUAUACCUGAAGUAACAUCAAAAACAAAAUCACAUCCUAUCUUCGCAAACAGAGGGUUUAUUAAAGAUAAUAAAAAGAGGUCUUUUACCUAUUCGGCCGCUCCCGUGGACGUCCGGUUCACCGGCGACGAAUCCAGGACCGGUGGUCGACGAGAAAGAGAGGGACGGGCUGGAUGCUUACUUCGAUCGUCUUCUCGUCGUCGUCACCACCUCUACUAAUGGAUGGAGGAGGAAAUCGCGAGUGAUGGUUCUGUUCUUCUCUUAUGAAAGAUGAUGAUGAGAGAGUGGAGUUGAGAGGCGGGAGGAGGAUUUUAGGGUUGGAGAGUGGGGAUUUCGAUGUCUAUUAAGUAUUUGUACCUAGGAUAUUAAGGCUCCAGGCCAUAAUUUAUUAUUAAGUAAUGGGCUCUUGUUAAUUUAAGCAAAAUUCAGUGUUGGUCUUUGGGCUGCACUAAGGCCUACCGUGAUAAACAUAAUUCUGCCAAUUUAGAUCC